UGUGGACGCUGGCGUGCCUGCGGUGCAGGCACCCUGGUUUAUCAGUCACACUGCGGUGAUGCUAUCGCAGGCACGCCAGCGCCCACA
rnacentral:misc_RNA from 1 species